rnacentral:rRNA from 1 species
CUACGGGUUGCUCCAGUGGGGAAUAUUGCACAAUGGGGGAAACCCUGAUGCAGCAACGCCGCGUGGGGGAUGACGCAUUUCGGUGUGUAAACUCCUUUUAACGAGGAAGAAAUUUGACGGUACUCGUUGAAUAAGCACCGGCUAACUCCGUGCCAGCAGCCGCGGUAAUACGGAGGGUGCAAGCGUUACUCGGAAUCACUGGGCGUAAAGGACGCGUAGGCUGUUUGGUAAGUCAGGGGUGAAAUCCUGCGGCUUAACCGCAGAACUGCUCUUGAAACUAUCAAACUAGAGUGAGGGAGAGGCAGAUGGAAUUGGUGGUGUAGGGGUAAAAUCCGUAGAGAUCACCAGGAAUACCGAUUGCGAAGGCGAUCUGCUGGAACUUAACUGACGCUGAGGCGUGAAAGCGUGGGGAGCAAACAGGAUUAGAUACCCGAGUAGUC